AAUUUGCUCUAAUUAAUCGUAUGUAAAAUUUAAAAUGGCUGGAGAAGUGAAGCAGAUAACCCUUCGAUAAUGUAGAGGGACACUCUUUCUACUUGCCCAAGUAGUCUGCUGUGGCAAUCAUGAUGUUUGCAGUUGGAAUUCAUUGUUAAUCAGCACUGUCAAUCAUUAAUCACCAUAUUACAUGUUUAAUUGUAUAUUUUCUGUAAUUUAUAAUCUAUAUGAUUGAGAGUGUGCCAGUGACCUCCGGUAUGUUCUAAGCAUUAGAAUAGUGUGAUAGUUGAUGUCAUAGACCAUUUAGUUUU
rnacentral:lncRNA from 1 species